UACGUAGGUGGCAAGCGUUGUUCGGAAUUAUUGGGCGUAAAGCGCGCGCAGGCGGUCCUUUAAGUCUGAUGUGAAAGCCCACGGCUCAACCGUGGAAGGUCAUUGGAAACUGGAGGACUUGAGUACAGAAGAGGAAAGCGGAAUUCCACGUGUAGCGGUGAAAUGCGUAGAGAUGUGGAGGAACACCAGUGGCGAAGGCGGCUUUCUGGUCUGUAACUGACGCUGAGGCGCGAAAGCGUGGGGAGCAAACAGG
rnacentral:rRNA from 1 species